rnacentral:rRNA from 1 species
UACGUAGGGUGCGAGCGCUGUCCGGAAUUAUUGGGCGUAAAGGGCUCGUAGGCGGUUUGUCGCGUCGGGAGUGAAAACCUCGGGCUUAACUCGGGGCUUGCUUUCGAUACGGGCAGACUAGAGGUAUGCAGGGGAGAACGGAAUUCCUGGUGUAGCGGUGAAAUGCGCAGAUAUCAGGAGGAACACCGGUGGCGAAGGCGGUUCUCUGGGCAUGAUCUGACGCUGAGGAGCGAAAGCGUGGGGAGCGAACAGG